UGGUGCCCCGCGCCGGCCGGGCCACCUCCGCCUGCCUCGGGCACGCAAGCGGCGGGGCAGCGGGUGCGGGCCUGGUGGCCGCGGGCUCUUUCCCGACCGGCCCCCGCGGCUGUCUGACAACCUGUCGACACCGGUUUACAGUUGUCGGACACUGGGGUUUGCUGUUUCGCAGCCGAGGUGUGUCUGCUGUUUCAUAAAAACAUCUCGGCUCCGGCUCCUGCUUUUCCGCGGAAGGGGCUGGCCCGGGCGCGGUGACAGCCAGCCGACGGGGAGCGGCCUCUCUUCCGAAGUUGGAGCUGCCUUUGCUUUCCUGGAAGUCGUUGGCAGAAGUGCACCCAGGUGCCCUCAUGUGCCACUAACCCGGCGUGGCGUGCCAUCCGAUGCGCUCUGGCGUCCCAGGGGCCCCCACUAGGUACUAAGUCAUAUGGACAUGACCGACCGUGCUGUACUUGGAGAAGCGGGAAGAGGCCAAACUCUGCAACCUUUCUCUAUUGUGGAAACUUUGCGAAAGGGAACCCUAGCUGAGAAGCCACUUGCUGGGGGAAGCAGAUGCCGUCUAUGGUAGCGGUUUCUUGGGGGCGAGAGACCUUUUCUUAACAGAGACUGCAUCACAGCAGCGCAAGGGAGACAUUCCAAGUGCCCAACCUGGUGAUGAGAAAAGCCCAAGUGGCCUGGGCGCCCCUCCUUUGUCCCCUGGGUGUGCAGGAAGUAAACUUAAGAAGAGCAUGCCGGCCUGAGGCGGCUAGGCGACCAGGCCAGGGACAGGACGUCCGUCUCCACCCUCUGCCCUGAGGAAAGAGAGAGCCUAUGAGGCAGGACCCAGCACUGCUGGUUGGCUCCCCGUGGCCAGGGGCCUGGCCGCUCUAGGGCUCAGAUGCCGAGUGCAAGGUCUUCCUGAGCUCCCUCUGUUCGGACGGGUUGGGCAGGCAGCUACUGAGCUUUACUCGCUGGCUUGGUUCCCAUGGCCCAGAUGGGGAGCGUGUCCAGGGUACCGGUCCGGGCUACUGGGGCCACUUUGCACCGCAUCUCCCACGCAGCAGCCAGAGCUCCCAGCUGCCGGUGGAACCUGCAGGAAUUUCAUUCACUGGACUCUGGUGUUGUACUCCGUUUGUGCCGUUUGGAGCUGUGGGAUUGAGGCUGACAUCUGGGCUUGGUCCCCAGCAUGCUCUGUUGCAGGUGACCUGGGCCACCCAUACCCUGGACAUCAACUGCUGGGAUCAUGGAAGCCCAGGGACUCUGGCAGCAUGGGGAUGGCUCCCGUUUCUCCAUUUUGGGGUCUGAGGACAGACACAGAGCCACUGCCCAUAAUAGUAAUGUCAUCACCAGCUCUGUAAUGAGGCUGUAAUUUCUCUGCUCAGAGUCAGGCUUUAUUCUUCUUUAUGCUGCUACCCCCAUCUUCACCCCAGGAGCCCCAACUUUCUCCAGAAAUACCCUGCAACUGCCUGGGCUCCUUUCCUGCUGUGACAGAUUCUGGAGGCAGGGGUAGGCGCUUGGCACUCCUGUUCUGGGAAGUCCCUAACCACAGCUCUCUCCUAUUCCCCAGCCCACCUCCAGGAACCCCAACCCCUUCUCCCAGCAUCCAAAACAAACCAAAGGGCCAGCUCCACCUCUGUUCCCUUUAGCAAACUCCAGUGUCACAUUUCAGGGCAACAGGUAAACACGGGUGAGAUAAGCCCUCUUGUGUGACCAGGAGAAUGAGGUGGAAUGUAAACCAGUGUCAGGAUCCAGCCACAAGGAUUGAUCAUCUCCUUCCCACCUUACCCCCCAAAAGUCCACCUUGACAUCCGGCACCCGGUGGCUAUCAGAACCUGGCGGGGAGGGGCCAUCAGAGGAGGCUUUGUCCUGACCCUCACCAGCCCAGCAAUGCCUCCCCACCAUGCUCUGCAUGUAUUACCUCCAUUCAGGUCAUGAAAUGAUUGUAGGUUCCUGGAGACACCUGGGAGGUGAGUGGGGAAAACCCCUCUGGAAACCAGCUUGAGGAUUAGCCAGUUACGGAGGAAAUUAGAAUUAGAAAGGACUGGACUUGCCCCAAGGGAGCCAUGGAAAGGUGCCAGAGCAGCAAAUGUGGCCAUUCUCCGCCCAAGGCUAUGGGCUGGGAUCCUAGCAGACUCUGGUGACUUAGAUCACCUCUUCCCUUCUUUCUCUUUGGCCCUUAAUCAGAAAACUUCCACAAAGAGGACUAAGAAGUUGUAAGAAAACUGCCUCCAAAGCAUCCUAUUGGAGAGGGGGCGGGGCAGAGAAGGACUGAGAACCUGGUGGCUCAGCUUUGCCAAGGACCGUGUCCUCCGGAAAGUAAGCCCUCUACUCAGUUUUAAUCAUCACGUGACUAAGUAGGGCUGAGGAAGGCUGGGGUGCGGAGCCAGGGGAGAGGCUCCUGCCAGGGAUCUUGGCCUGACUUCACUGUACUCCUCGUGCAGGUCCAUUUCACCAGCUCCACCCUUUCGGGUCCAGCCAUCCCUCUGCUGGCCUCAGUGCUGCCGGGCAAGUAGGAGGGAGGAGUUGGGUCCUGCUCACCCUCAGGCACUGGAGGGGGAUGAGUAGCAGGGCUCCAGCGUCCCACUGUCUGAAAACCCAUGGCCUCCAGUGUGGCUCUGGGUGAGGAAACUGGAAGAGGCCGGCUUCUCAGACCCUCAGCCACUGUUGCCGCUUGGCACGGGAUCCCUCCAGCCGGCCCAACCACGGGUCUGGAGCGGUUCCCUCCUAUCGCCACCCGAGUCACUGAGACAGAGGCAGGACUGCCCAGCGGUGCAGAGGAGACCUAGGGGUCGCUGCACGAUCUGAUCGGAGCUGCGCCGGGCCAGCGUCCCGGCGGGUCUGGGAGCUCGGUGUUCCUCAAGGACCUCCACUCCUGGGCCAUUGGCAGGUGGCCCCCGUCGCCGGCCCGGCCCCGCGGAGCUCAGCUGGACAGUAGCAGUUGACCCGGACUUUCUAGCUGGAAAGCCUGGAUUCUUGGUGCACUCCUGCUAGGAUGUGGGCCUCGGAGGCACCCAUGGGUGCGCAGGGUUGCGUGUAAUGUGCAGACCUCAGCCAGGAGGGAAGCUGGGAGGGGCUGUGGUGGGCAGGGGAGGAAGCCCUGAGGCCUUGGUGAGUGGGGGUGGGGCUCAGGGAGGGUUGGUGAACAAAGCGCAUUUGAAUCAAGUUGACUGUUAAAUUGGUUUCAAAACCUGGUGGAAAGUUGACUUGCUCCUUAUGGGGCUGGGGCGGGGGUAGUUGUCUAAAGAGGAGGGUGUUGCUAUCAGAACUCUGAAAAAGAGUGUCCGUUUCUGUCCCCAGCUUCUCAGUGCAGUCUCCGCUUCCUUCCCACCACAACCCCGUGGUGUAUUUACAUAAGAAUGAAAUGAAACAAACCAAACAGCAUCCUCAUUUACAAUUUUAUUUAUUAUAAAAUAGUUAUUCACUGUUUUGAAGCUCCAACUACCUAGGUCUGAAGAAUAGGAGACGCCACCGCGGGGACCUGCCUUUAACACCAAGGACGGCAGCAACGCAGACCCUCCCGGGUGCAGCGGGCAGCGCUGUGGCUUCCGUCGCCUGCCGUUCAAAUGGCCGUUCUUUGCUGACCCAGGAAGCCACCGGCUCAGCAACAGCGAGGCAAGUGACAAACAGUCAGCAAUGACCUGCAAGGAGCACGCAGCUGUAACCCAGGUGCCCAAAGGGUCGGCUGGAUGCAAUGAUCCGGUGGCCCUCUCAGCCCAACCCCUGGGUGCCCAGACAGUGUUCUCCUGCCACGCCAAGCUGGGGGCGGGGGUUGGGGGUGGGGGGAGGCGUGUCCACGACGCCUCUGGAGCAUCCUGACCUAGAGUAGCGCCUUGAACUUGCAACACUGCGGAGACCCCCGCUCCCAGACGGGCAUGCCUCGGAGGGAAGAGUCAAGUGGGGCCGGCGGGAGGAGAUGCCGAGAGGCUCCAGGAAAACAUGAAACGGAAAAAGGCCCAGAAGGGAAGGACACGGAUGGUCAGACUCUCGGAGCAGUGCUUCAAUAGAGUGGGUUUUGGCUCCCCAGAAGGCGGAAGGCAGGCGAGCCGGCGCGCAAAGUGUGCCUGGGAGCCUGGAGAUUUCCCAACCCACGGGAGUUUCCCACCAUUGCAAGGCAGAGAAAGGGACGCAGUGGCCCGGCCUGCAGUGCCCCGGUGAGUGUCGGAGGAAGUGAAUUACAUGCGUGUGCGCACGUAAAUAUUUUAUAAACCUCCCCAUAAUUAACCAGAUCAUUUCCAUUGUGCCUCCAAUAUGAUCAACUGCGACAAUGUGAGGGUUUUCGGGGUUUAUAAUUUGAUGUCACCAGACGGUUGCUCCAGGGCAGAGGUACCAUCGCUGCACCAGCUGCACUCGUGUUUAUUUGUUUUUCUCCGGUGUUCCUGUAGGGCUCCAUUAUGCAGUGUUUAAUUAGUUUGCGUUUGUAUUUCACCCUUCCCAAAUCAAUGCCAUCCCGGAGCAACGCAUUGUAAAUGCUGGCAGUACAGGUGUACUGCCUCCUCCGCAGCAAUAGGAAACUCGUGUCUGACAAAUGAAAGCGGGGCUCUCUGUCAGCUCUCUGUAGCUGGGACUUCAAGAUCAAAGCCAGCGGGGACUUCUGUGCCCCCUGAGCACAGUCCUGGCUGUGGCUCCGGAUGCCAUUGGAGGGAGCCUGGCCACCUGCAUGGGAGACAACUGACUUCAUUUUGUUCAAGUCCUGUGGUCUUUGGGCCAGCGUUGGCCUCCAGUGCUUUGAGCUCGGGGCCUCGUGGGCAUGGGCUGAAUAUGUGCAGGGCUCCCACCUGGAUGCCAGGUUGUGGACAAACAUGCAGAUAACCUAGGACCCGACGAGGGCCCUUGUGAGUGACUUCCUGCCUGGUUCCAAAAGUGUGGAUUUUUUCAAUGGAACCCAGAGCAUACAGCUCAAACUUCUGGAAUCUCCAGACAUGAGGACCCCUCCCCCCACCACCUCUCAGGGAGCAGCAUAUUUUUUUCUAGUGCAAGAUGACAGCUGUCUAUUUGAAGACUUAUUUCAUGAUUAGUGUUUGCACUGAAGUGGGGCACCCUUCAGGAAAACUCUAACCCAGCUCAUCUGGAUCCCUGAGGCAUCCACACUGGCAGCAGGAAGACAUUCCUUGUUAUCAAACUUAUGGGAAUAGAGGCUACCAUGGCCCAGACUUUGACCUUAACCCUUAAUUUCUAAACUGUGGAAGAAGUUUUACUUCCUCUUGUUUUCAGUAAGCAAGAGCAAAUAAUCCCAAGCCAUGCCAUCCUUUCUGAGAAGCUCUGAAAUUGAAUGUCUGGGUAACCCUAACAAUCGGUGCAGCUAAUGCAGUUUAUAACCGGACUCCUUAAGUGGGGAGUGUGACCUGCUGGAAAUCUAACAGGAUUUCUGUAUUUUCUGUGGUCUUGUUGCUGCAGAAGCAGACUGCUUCAUUUCCUCCUCUAUCCAAGGUGAUGGACAGACUCUUCUACCCCUGCAUGAUGGAAUUUCAGCGGAGAAAUGCAUGAUGGGGGGGGGCAGGGCGGGCAGAGAGGGUUUCACGCUCUCACUGAGUUGAGAAUAGGAGAUAAAAACACCUCAAAUCCAUUUGGUUGAAUUCUACUGUCAUUUUCAUUAAUAUUUCAUUAAUCAAAUCAUUUACUUUAAUUGAGAGUUUGGUUACCGUUGUCCCAUAAAUAUUAAAUACUAUUAAUGUGGUGUUCACCUAAGUAGGAAUGGGAUAAAAUAAAAAUGCAACACUGAUAAGAA